rnacentral:rRNA from 1 species
AUUGAACGCUGGCGGCAGGCCUAACACAUGCAAGUCGAGCGGAUGAGUGGAGCUUGCUCCAUGAUUCAGCGGCGGACGGGUGAGUAAUGCCUAGGAAUCUGCCUGGUAGUGGGGGACAACGUUUCGAAAGGAACGCUAAUACCGCAUACGUCCUACGGGAGAAAGUGGGGGAUCUUCGGACCUCACGCUAUCAGAUGAGCCUAGGUCGGAUUAGCUAGUUGGUGAGGUAAAGGCUCACCAAGGCGACGAUCCGUAACUGGUCUGAGAGGAUGGUCAGUCACACUGGAACUGAGACACGGUCCAGACUCCUACGGGAGGCAGCAGUGGGGAAUAUUGGACAAUGGGCGAAAGCCUGAUUCAGCCAUGCCGCGUGUGUGAAGAAGGUCUUCGGAUUGUAAAGCACUUUAAGUUGGGAGGAAGGGCAGUAAGUUAAUAACCUUGCCGAUUGACGUUACCCGCAGAAGAAGCACCGGCUAACUCCGUGCCAGCCGCCGCAGUAACAC